UCUCUCUGUGAUGAGAACCUCUUCACAGGCCUGGACUGAGCUCUGUGAGGAUAAGAAACUCUGAACGGGGGA
rnacentral:snoRNA from 14 species